rnacentral:lncRNA from 1 species
AAACCUAACAAAGCAAAGUGCCAGACUCAGGGGAUCCCCAGGACCUGGACAAGCUUCAGCCUUUUGGGGUUCUUCCCCAGCCCACACUCUGCUAUUGAAGCUUGCAGCUGAGGUGAAGGAGGACCUAGAUGUUAAAGAUGGGGCAGUGAAGCCAGAGUGCCUGGGCUCAAGCGAUACCUGUGUGACUUCAGAUGAGUGAGUGUGGAGACCUGGCCUUCCGUCCCGUUACCACUUCCCCUCUGGGCCUCGGUGCCACACGGUUCUUGCCCUGCAUUACUGGAUGUUGAAUCCAGGGCCUUCAGACAAUGCCAGGAAUUUGUUGAAGGAAAUUUAUUGAAGACAAUGAAGAUUUGUUUAUCAGGAUAUUCAUCUUGGCAGGUAAUAGCCAAAAAAAAAAAAAAAAAAAAAAAAAAAAAAAAAAAGGAA